GGCCGUGCAAUUGCCCGUGCAAAAGCCUCGAAUUGCACGCCAAUCAAGGAAUCAAAUUCGACAAACAUCUAAUAUGCGUAAAUCAUCCAUAGAGCUUGGUUUCUGCCCGAAAAUCAAUCAGUUUCCCAUCAAGGAGUUCGAACACCUGAAAAACUUAGAAACAUACCAAAGUGCGAUCAAACAGGAAUAAAUAUGACUCAAAUACAUGAAUAAAUGACUGAUAAACAAUCAAUAAAUAUGCAUAGAAUCAUCUACAUCAGCGGUAAAUUCCGUCCAAGGCUAAAUACGAGUGAGAGACCGAUAGCAAACAAGUACCGCGAGGGAAAGAUGAAAAGAAAUUUGAAAAGAGAGUCAAAGAGUGCCUGAAAUUGUCGGGAGGGAGGCAGAUGGGGGCCGACGAUGUGUAUCGGUCAGAUGUGGAAUGGCCAAAAGCCAGUCCACCGAUCGGCUUAGGGUGCGGACAGACGCGGAUUGCAGCGGCGGCCCAAGCCCAGGCUUUUGAUACUCUUGCAGAGAUGCCGUCGAAGCGAUGGUGGACUGCAGCACGCGCCAUCACAACAUGCUUCGGCACUUGCGCACUUCGGGCGUCGGCUAUUUGGCUCCCCAUUCGAUCCGUCUUGAAACACGGACCAAGGAGUCUGACAUGUGUGUGAGUCAACGGGUGAGUAAACCCGUAAGGCGUAAGGAAGCUGACUGGCGAGAUCCCCUCAUGGGUUGCACCGCCGACCGACCUUGAUCUUCUGAGAAGGGUUCGAGUGAGAGCAUGCCUGUCGGGACCCAAAAGUUGGUGAACUAUGCCUGAGCGGGCUGAAGCCAGAGGAAACUCUAGUGGAGGCCCGCAUCAAUAGUGAUGUGCAAAUCGUUCAUCUGACUUGGGUACAGGGGCAAAAGACUAAUCGAACCGUCUAGUAGCUGGUUCCCCCUGAAGUUUCCCUCAAGAUAGCUGGAGCUCAGGUUACGGUGUCCAACUACGCGUUAACCUAGAACCCACAAAGGGUUUUGGUUGAUUAAGACAGCAGGACGGUGGUUAUGGAAGUCGAAAAUGGAUGGCGCUUAAAUGCGCGACCUAUACCCGGCUGUACGGGCAAGAGCCAGGCCCCAAUGUAUAGGAGGGCGCGGCAGUCACUGCAAAACCUAGGGCACGAGCCCGGGCGAAGCGGCCGUCGGUGCAGAUCUUAGUGGUUGUAGCAAAUAUUCAAAUGAGAACUUUGAAGGUCGAAGAGGGGAAAGGUUCCAUGUGAACGACACUUGCACAUGGGUUAGUCGAUCCUAAGAUACGGGGGAAGCCCGUCCGACAGCGCGUUCGUAAGCGAACUUUGAAAAGGAAUCGGGUUAAAAUUCCUAAACUGGGACGUGGCAGCGGACGACAACAUUAGGGAGUCUGGAGAUGUUGGCGUGGGCCUUGAGAAGAGUUACCUUUUCUAUUUAACAGCCCGCCCACCCUAGAAACGACUCAGUCGGAGGUAGGGUCCAGUGGCUGGAAGAGCACCGCACAUCAUGUGGUGUCUAGUGCGUCCCCGGCAGCCUAUGAAAAUCUGGAGGACCGAGUGCCAUCCACGCCUGAUCGUACUCAUAACCGCAUCAGGUCUCCAAGGUGAACAGCCUUUGGUCAAUGGAACAAUGUAGGCAAGGGAAGUCGAGAAAAUGGAUCCGUAACCUCGGGAAAAGGAUUAGCUUUGAGGGCUAGGCUUGGGAGUCCCAGUCUCGAACCCGUCGGCUGUCGGCGGACUGAUCGAGCUGCUCCUGCGGUGAGAGUAGGUCGCCGCGUGUCGGCCGGGGGACGGACUGGGAAGAGCCUCUUUAGGGGCCUUCCCCGGGCAUCGAACAGUCGACUCAGAACUGGUAUGAACAAGGGGAAUUUGACUGGUUAAUUAAAACAAAGCAUUGUGAUGGUCCCUGUGGAUGAUCAUGCAAUGCGAUUUCUGCCCAGUGCUCUGAAUGUCAAAGUAAAGAAAUUCAACCAAGCGCGAGUAAACGGCGGGAGUAACUAUGACUCUCUUAAGGUAGCCAAAUGCCUCGUCAUCUAAUUAGUGACGCACAUGAAUGGAUUAACGAGAUUCCCACUGUCCGUGUCUACUAUCCAGCGAAAUCACAGCCAAGGGAACGGGCUUGGCGGAAUCAGCAGGGAAAGAAGACCCUAUUGAGCUUGACUCUACUCUGAAUUUCUGAAAUGAAUUGAGAGGUGUAGGAUAAGUGGGAGCCUUAACCAGCGACGGUGAAAUACCACUACUUUUAAUGUUAUUUUACUUAUUCCGUGAAUCGGAGGCGGGGCUACGCCCCUCUUUUUAGACCCAAGGUCGCUUCGGCGGCUGAUAUGGGCGGAAGACAUUGUCGUGUGAGGAGUUUGGCUAGAGCGGCACAUUUGUUAAAAGAUAACGCAGGUGUCCUAAGAUGACCUCAACGAGAAUAUAAAUCUCGUGUGGAACAAAAGGGUAAAAGCUCAUUUGAUUCUGAUUUCUAGUACGAAUACGAACUGUGAAAGCGUGGCCUAUCGAUCCUUUAGACCUUUGGAAUUUCAAGCUAGAGGUGUCAGAAAAGUUACCACAGGGAUAACUAGCUUAUGGCAGCCAAGCAUUCAUAGCGACGUUGCUUUUUUAUCCUUCGAGGUUGGCUUUUCCUAUCAUUGUGAAGCAGAAUUCACCAAGUGUUGGAUUGUUCACCCACCAAUAGGGAACGUGAGCUGGGUUUAGACCGUCGUGAGACAGGUUAGUUUUACCCUAUUGAUGAUUGUGGCGCAAUGGUAGUUCAACCUAGUAUGAGAGGAACGGUUGAUUCGCACAAUUGGUCAUCGCGCUUGGUUGAAAAGCUAGUGGCGCGAAGCUACCGUGCGCUGGAUUAAGACUGAACGCCUCUAAGUUAGAAUUCGAGCUAGAAGCGACGCGUUGUCUGCCGCUCAUUUGCCGACUAGGAGUAGGGGCCCUCCGGCUCCUAAAAGCACGUGUCGUUGGCUAAGCCCUCGCGGCGGACGAGCUAUGCGGGCUGCCUUGAAUUACAAUUUCCACCGGGCGACGAACUGAAUCCUUUGCAGAUGACUUAAAUACACGACGGGGUAUUGUAAGUGGUAGAGUGGCCUUGCUGCCACGAUCCACUGAUAUUCAGCCCUUUGUCACUUCGAUUCGU
rfam:Ricinus communis cultivar Hale ctg_1100012362735, whole genome shotgun sequence.